rnacentral:tRNA from 4 species
GGCGCGAUAGCAAAGCGGUUAUGCCGCGGCCUGCAAAGCCGUUUAGACCAGUUCGACUCUGGUUCGCGCCUCCA